UAAUCCCCCUGUUUGUGAGAAAUUAACCCGGAGUCCAGUAAAUAAGUUAGAAAAACGUUUCGUAUUUCUGCCAGAAAAUACGAGCGACCACGCCUCCCACCCCAUCUGGAUCCGCCGCCUCCACGCCACCGGCCGGCGUCCUCCGCCACGCCAUCCACCGCCGUGCCGUCCUCCCCGCACCGCGGCCUGCCUCCUCUCCGCCGUGCCCUCCUCCUCGCGCCGUCCGAGUCCUCCGCGCGCCGUUCGCCGACGCCGAGGCCCAGGCCAGCCCGCUCCGGGCCCGCGCCGCCGACGGCGACGGGCUGCUCAGCACGCUUCUCGCUGCCAUGGGCAACGACCGGGAGGAGGAGGAGGACGCGCAGGAGGCGGGGUAGCGUCAGAAUCAGCGCACGUCGGAUCCAGCAUGCUGCUCCUCUCCCUUCCCAAGUCGCCCUGGAUCUCGCGAUGCUGGAGGUGGCCGCGGUCGUUGCUAUGGAGGGCUCGCCACCCGCCUCCGGAGUCCCACGUCCUCGAGAUCAACGAGAUUGCCAAGCCGAGGUCAUCAUCUCUCGACGGGCUCCUCCAUCACUUCUGGUUUCACACAAUGGCUGUGGGCUGCCUCUCCCUCUCGAUCCUGCGCUCCUCCUCCUCCGGUUCAGGUUUCAGGCCGUGGCUUAUGGUCGCCUCUCCAUAUCCAUCCUUCCAAUCUGGAGCACAGGUGGAGAGCCUGGCUGUGUGUGGCGGAGAUGGCGCCCCGCAUCUGCGCCCUAUAAGCCCAGACAGAGCUCCGCCGAGGCCAUGACCUCCACAGGAUUCGAUAGCCAUGCCCUGGAGAGAGACAGCUCACAAAUUAGUGCAGUUAACAAGAAGCAAUUGAACCGAAGAUCUUACGAGAUGGCUUGCAAAUCCAGGUGUCAAACAGAAUUUCGGUAAUAUAUAUUAUGUAUACGGUACUUGGAAGGGAUGCUUACCAGGUAAAUACCACUUAAAAUCUAGGUCCAGUAACUAUCCAGUUGCAGAUUCACUGCAAGUUUGUGCGACAGAUAUACAUAUAUAUAGAUCAACUAGGAUUUAGGUUUAACUCUAUGGUACAAUUGAAAGACUAGGGAGAAGAGGGUGGAUUGUACUACCUGAUUGCUUGAUGUACAUCCGAAAGAGAUUCAGUUGCUCUGAAUAUUCUGAUUUGCCACAUGGUCGCCAGUGUGAAUAGCGCCUUUAGCGAUUUGUACAACAAACAGACCAAGCUCUACAUAAAAUGAUUUUGUUUUCAUGAGUGAAUCUUUUAAUGACGUCAUUACCAUCCCCUUUCCAACGAACAACAUACAAGCUUUGUUCUCUGAAGUUUAAGAAUAGUGCAACCAUCUUGCCUUUCCAAAGAAUAACAUAUAUAUUUUUAACCUUAAUAGUGCAGCCAGCUAGCUGUAGUGCACUUAUCUCUAAGCCCAGCUCCUCUUUAAUCCAUAAACUUAUCCGUAACCAAAGGCUAGACGUAUAUUCAACGUAAUUCUAUUCAUUGAGUUGAGUUUCUUACUUCAGUAUGCCCUGGGGUAUAGUAAGUUCCAUUUUCAAUGUUCCAGGGACCACUUCCAGUAAGUUUCCACUCGACAUCAGCAGUAAUGUCCACUACCUGUAUCAGCAUGGUUAUCGCAGAAGAUAAUCAGGGCAAAUAUCAUAAGCAAAUUACAACUUUAGAAUCUCCGAAUUCUAAUAGAUUUCUAAUAUCCUUCAAAACAUGAUGUGUGAGCACUCUUUAGAUAUUCCAGUAAGUUCCUUUCUACAGGUGUUCUUACAUCUCCUGAAUGGAUGUUUCUCUUUGCAUUUCGGCCGCUCGGCCCACUUCCGAUGAUCCACUACAUCAUCACUGUUUGGUAACUGGUUAGAUACUCUUCAAUCUCCUUAUAGAAAGGUCCACAAAUGCACAAUCAAUAGAUACAUAUAGAACUGUGUAAGUCUGAACAUACAUGUGGGUCAAAACAUGGUGCGCUCCACCAAGCUUCUCAAUCUUGUCCACCAGUUUCGGCGUAUACCUUAGACUGAAAUAUUAAGAGGUUAUCAGAACAACUACAGCGAAUAUAAUCACUCUUUUCAGACCAAAUAAGGAAUCAAUCUCAUGAUGGUUGAUACUUGAUGCAGCGGAGGAUCACAGGUGUACUGCCAGCAGUUUCAAUUUAACCGGGUGGUUGCCAUCAUCGUGAGACUACCAACUGGAGGAGCUGCAACGGCUCUUUAUUCCAGCCGUAUCCGAUGCCCCGAGCCGGAACUUUCAGGUCACCUACAGCACACGGUGCUCGUGGCGCGCCGUUGGCGCCGGCGUCGGCAGGGACACGGGAAGGUGCUCGUUGCCGCGCUCCCGGAACCCCUCAAGCAGCUCAUGCUCGUUCGGCCGUGCAGGACGGCGUUGUAGCACUAUCGUUGGAUGUGAAUCGCAUCAAAAUCGGAAUCAGUCUGCGCGCUAAUGUGGCGUGUUUCCGCCUUUGCUACACUGUGAUUGACUGAUGGUUAGAUCGUUGAUGCUGCAGUCUGAUGAGGUCUCGGGGUGUGUCUUGUGCUUGAUUUUUGACGCCACGAGCUCCUGGUGAGUUUGCUCCCCUGAGUCAUUAUAGAGGGAGUGAGAUGGUCAGAAGGGAGAAGAACAAAAAACCUUGCUGCCGGAGAUGACAUCCACACCAUUUUUUGUGUGUUGGAGUGAUUGAACCAUGGCAAUCAGAGCUGGCAUAUUUAUUCCAUUCUGUACACCAAGAGAUUAUGCUAUUUUCCUUUUACUGAAGCAGUUAUGAUUGAGUAGUACAUUGUUAUCAUUCUCAACAACUUCAUUCAUGACACCUUUGAUACUCAUGUAUGAGAAAGAACUUUCAGUGAUUGAGUUACUUUAUUUGACUUUAUGUUGUUCAGGAGGGGAGGCCGCAAGGCGGGAGAGCCAGUAGCGGCAUUCUGUUUGGGGAUGCGUGGAUCUGGUGAUGCUGGAGCAGGGGAACAGGAAACAUCACAUCCGCAACGGCGUUUCAAAUAGCCAAUUUACCUUUCUCCCUAAAGGUUUCUUGCUCUGCUGUCAGUAUCACUGGUCUUGGGGUUUAGAUUUUGUCAAUAUCAAAAUCUGGGUACUUACCAGCAAACGAGUUGUUGAUCUAUUUACUUAGUCAAGUUCAUUUCUGCUAUGUUCUUCAGUCAAGCUUCAGCUUCUAGCCUUGAUUAAAUGGCAAUGAUAUUCUCCAAAACCUACUAAUGUCAGAAAUCCUGCUACCCAACAGGAUGGUCUGCCAAGUGAUGUGAGCACUACUCAGUGUGUGGCACACGUUCAUUAGGAUUGCAAACAAGAUUUGAGAUAGGGAACAUCGUCUGAUGGGACAGCUCCUGAAUCAAUGUCACAUAAGGCAACAACAUACUUGGAGGAGUUGAGAUGAGUUGAUCACAUCCUCAUUUGUCUUUGCAUGUUGCAACAGGGGCAGUGUACUUUUUUUAUAGCAAAACAUUCCUACUUUAGAUAGAAGAACUUAUGGGGCACAUCAGAUGUACUGACCACUCCUUAGUCCCAAGAACGGGACUAACAAUUUUUCUCAAGUUCUGCUGCUGUAUUGUACAAGAAGUCUGUUCAUCAAACUGCCUUAUCAACCAUUUGCUAUUAACCCUCAAACAUCUAACUUUUUUUUGACAUCCUCAAACAUCUGACAUAUUUCUUAGCAGCUGCCUUCUGACCCUCCCCUUCACCCUUUUCGGAUAGUUUUGUUUUGCAAAUACCCUUUCCUGAUAGCUAUGUCCCACCAUCUGCAUCAAAACAAGAGAAAGGGGCAGAUGAUCUGUUGGCCACAGACAUUGCUUCCUGCAAUUGACCAUAUUAUUGAUCAAGGGCCAGCAAAAAUAUAGAGAUUUCAAUUAAUUUUACCGUCGACCAAGUAAACUGCAAUUUGUGAGCUGGGACGAUGAAAGAAGAAGAAAUAUGAUUUAAUGGCAAAAAAUAAGUCAACAAUGUUGUCUGAUGUGCAUGAGGAUUUGGUACACGUUUAACAUAAGAAUAUGUAUGCCUUCAAGCCUAAUUUUUGUGCCUUGCAUGUUGUGUUCUUUUAGUAUAUAUUUUUCUCCCGUUGCAACGCAUGGGCAUUUUUGCUAGUAUAUCUAUCUAUCCCUAAUGCCUAAUCCCUAAUAAUAAAGCACGGAUUGACUCCGUGGGUUCACCGUCACAAUACGCUUCUCCCCGUGAAUUUAUGCUUUCAGUUUUUUCACCUAUAUUAUUUUCUACAUCCGAGGUGGUACUAUUUCAUCCAAAAACGUUUAAUUCCAGAAUUUUAUCCGUUCACGUGUGGGCCGCUUGCCCUGUCUGCUUCGCUGUCGCUGGUCCGACUCCCUCGCUAUCAUCGGCCCGUGUUGUAAAAAAACGUUUCGCUGUUUACUCCUCUCACCCAUCUCCUUCUUUGACCCACACACGAACAAGCUAGGGCUGGAGCCGCCGCCCCUCCGGCCUGCCCGCCGGAGCUCCGUCCGCCACUCUUCUCCAUCUUCUCCCCCCACCUCUACUCCCCCAGGCCCAACUGUGGUGGAUGACAUGCCCGCCGGCGCUCCAUACUCCCCUCUUCUCCAUCUUUCCCCUCGCCAUCUCCCUCCUCACUCCCUGUUCCGCCCCCACCCCUACUGCUGCAGGCUCAACCAUGGUGGUCAACACGGGGAUGUGAGCGUGCACGGGCGGCAUCGGUGGACAAGAGAUGCGUAGAGGAUCUCAAGUGCUGCAGACGCUGGCGAGAUAUUCCAAAAUAAAGGAGGCGGCUAGAGGAAGCAUUGGAAGCCAAGUUCAGCAGCAACGGUCAGCUGUCGUCGGUGGCCGGAUGACGACAUCUGUAAAGGAAUGAGGGUGGUCGGAGACCGACAACAGGGGGCUACUGAACUAGGCAAGCUACCAUCACUCCAUCAUCCCCGGAGAUCAUUUGGUGAUGUCUGCUGCAUCACAUUAUGGACUGGAGGCGCGGACUGCCCCGCACAAGGCAUUGGCAGGAAUUCUUGAUGAUUGAGGAAAUUAUGGCAGGCAUUCUUGAUGGUAUAUUAAAUCUUGGUUUGAUGGGUACUUUUGUGAAGAAACUAUUGAGUCCCAGGAGACCUACACGCCCAUAUAUUAAGAAAGACAGAAAGAACAAGUUUUUAUGACUGAAUCUAAUGCAUGGUUAAGCAUUUCGUUUUCCAUUACAUCUGAUCCGAUUCCAAUGCUUGCUUAGUUGUUAGGACAAAUGAAUCCAGAUGGUUGUAAUGAGUAAUAAGAUGAGCAAGGUGCGGGGGCAGUGUUGUGGCUAGAGUAUUUUAGAGUCCAGAUUAUUGCUGCUACCUCUACUCUCCUCUGCCAUUUGGUAACUAAUGACAACGCAGCAGCUGCGUGGUUCACGGUUUACGGAAUCUCGAUUGCAAGUGCCUAUACGAUGUUCUUCUGCCCAUCUAAAUUCCACAUGUUAUGUGAGUGGUACAGCCGCAUGAAUUCGUGAUAUGUAUUUCGGCCUGGUUCAAAGGAGCAGUCUGGCAAUAUGAGCAUUUGUACAAACUAUCUAGGACAUCAAGUUCACUUGGGUCCGCUUAUUUACCUACAAACUACAGAUGAGACCCACUAGAUCAAUUAGUGCCAUCUCCAGAUUUCUAUCAUCAUGUUGCUUCGUUUAUCUGCAUAAGUUCCACUUGGAGUUGCAUGCAUUAAACAUAGUGUUUUUUUAGUGGGCAUCAGACUUG